AUGUGUCCUGACUUGCCAGAGCUGGGACCGCCCUGGACGAUGGAGUACUUCCCUGUUAGGAGCUGCCAUGUUGUCUUGCAGGGUGAAUUUGGCUUGUUCUACCCUCCGCUGCACAGUGACAUUAAAACCAACAUUUGGUGCAAUUGGACCAUCUGGGCCGGCCCCCAGAAACACAUCCUGAUCUACAUCCAGGGGUUUCAGGCAAGUGAAGGCUGUGAUAAGAACCAGGAUAAGAUGAUUUUCCAAGGGGUCUUGUCCAACGUGGAAACAAAAGUAGUGUACGCCUGCCACAACCGAGGUACUCUGAUCUUUGCAACGCAAGCUACAGCGGUCUAUGUGUUACUUCUGUCAGGGAGCAGUUCCCUAAGCAGCGAAUACAAACAUUUUAAGGGACGGUAUUAUAUAUUCAGAGACCAUGCAACUGUGGACUCUUCAAAUGAUACGAUAGCUCCUGUCUGGGAAAUCUCCAAGAUGGAUAUCUCCAGCAAGGUCAGACACUCUCACGAUCUCGAGGAAGGUGCUAAUGGGGGCGAGCUCGGUCCGCUGGAAGAUGAAACRGAGCUGGAAAGGAACCUUAGAGAUGGCGGCACCAAGGGGAGAGGAGACAGUGAAGAGGUGUUGGUGGAGCCAGCUGCAGCCAGGGGAGACACGGGGCGAAACACCAAACUGCCAGCCCUGGAUAUUGUGGAGGGAGGUGUACAGCCGGAGCCUGCUCUGGUACCCACACCUGCCKGUAGCACCACAGACAUCCCUUUGGAAGCACCCAGCAGCUCUGUGGGGCUCUUGGCUGCCAAAAUCCUACCUAACCUGGCUCAGACGCACAGCAGCCUAUCGGCAGUAGCCACUCCUGCCACCAGACAUUUCCGUGCACAGAUGGUGAUGGAAGAGCCAUCACUUAACACGARUGUGAUACCUUCUCCUCUCUACUCCUCUCCUGGCGUGACUGCUGAAGAUACAACAAUGCCAGGAGAAAGGCAGGAAGAUCUCUUUGGUAAGGUCUUUGGGGUUAUUUGA
ensembl:lncRNA